GUCAUCCGAACUUGAUUUGUUAUAUUUUGCUUCCUGAUCCAAAGAGAAGAAAAUCGUGGCUUUAUGCUUUAUAUAAAACUGAUUCAUCUUGCAAAAACAAACUUUGGUCGCAAAACAUGUCUAAGUAUGCUCAAAACAUUUUGUAUCUGAAUAUUAUGUACAAAAAAGUCAUUGCAAUAAAUCUCAAGUUAUUAAAGUCAGUGAACAAAUAAGUACUGACAGUUCGUUGACUGGAGUGGAAGAUGUUAGUGUCUUGAACCAACAUGAAACAACAAGUUAACUUAGCUGAGAAUGAUGGUAGUUUAAAAAUAAUGCAGCAUUGGCUAGGAUUGUUCCUAGGUCACAAAAACAAUCUUACAAAUAGAGUUUCUGCUGUUGUCACUGGUUUUAGAGAGUACCUUCGUGAAUGAAGAUAAAAAGUCAUUUAUGU
rnacentral:lncRNA from 1 species